UACGUAGGGUGCGAGCGUUAAUCGGAAUUACUGGGCGUAAAGCGUGCGCAGGCGGUUUUGCAAGCCGGAUGUGAAAUCCCCGGGCCCAACCUGGGAAUGGCAUUCGGGACUGCAAGGCUGGAGUGCGGCAGAGGAGACUGGAAUUCCUGGUGUAGCAGUGAAAUGCGUAGAUAUCAGGAGGAAUACCGAUGGCGAAGGCAGGUCUCUGGGCUGACACUGACGCUCAUGCACGAAAGCGUGGGGAGCAAACAGG
rnacentral:rRNA from 1 species